rnacentral:rRNA from 1 species
AACAGCUGCUAUGUUCACUAAAGCCUCGUCUUGUCUGAUCUCAGCAGCUAAGCAGGGUUAGGCCUGGAGAGGACUGGGAUGGGAGACCUCUGGGAAUAACAGAUGCAGCAGCAGUGC